UAAGGAAUAUUGGUCAAUGCCCGGAAGGGUGAACCAGCCAUCCCGCGUGAAGGAUGAAGGGGCUCUGCCUUGUAAACUUCUUUUGAAUGGGACGAAAAAGCCUCACUUGUGAGGAACUGACGGUACCAUUAGAAUAAGCACCGGCUAACUCCGUGCCAGCAGCCGCGGUAAUACGGAGGGUGCGAGCGUUAUCCGGAAUCACUGGGUUUAAAGGGUGCGUAGGCGGCUGUAUAAGUCAGUGGUGAAAGGCUGUGGCUUAACCAUGGGAUUGCCAUUGAUACUGUACGGCUUGAAUUAGGAUGAGGUUGGCGGAAUGUGACAUGUAGCGGUGAAAUGCUUAGAUAUGCCAUGGAACGCCGGUGGCGAAAGCGAUUCUCUGGUCCGCUCCUGACACUGAGGCGCGAAAGCUAGGGGAGCAAACGGGAUUAGAUACCCAAGUAGUCCCUGAGCGGGCUGGCAAGGCGCAU
rnacentral:rRNA from 1 species